CAAUACAAAAAAUGUAUGUCGCUGUGGAUAAAAGCGUCUGCAAAAUGGCAUUUA
rfam:Salmo salar isolate Sally breed double haploid chromosome ssa01, whole genome shotgun sequence.